GCCCUUGAGUUUGAUCCUGGCUCAGGGUGAACGCUGGCGGCGUGCUUGACACAUGCAAGUCGAACGGUAUGUGGCAACACAUAGAGUGGCGAACGGGUGAGUAACACGUGGGAACGUACCAUCUGCAGGGGGAUAACUGACCGAAAGGACAGCUAAUACCGCAUAAGUCCGGAAGGAGAAAGGUGCAAUAGCAUCGGCAAAAGAGCGGCCCGCGGUCCAUCAGCUAGUUGGUGAGGUAAGGGCUUACCAAGGCGACGACGGAUAGCCGGCGUGAGAGCGUGGCCGGCCACAAGGACACUGAGAUACGGGUCCUACUCCUACGGGAGGCAGCAGUGCGGAAUUUUAGAUAAUGGAGGGAACUCUGAUCUAGCGACGCCGCGUGCAGGAAGAAGGUCUUCGGAUUGUAAACUGCUGUGGUAAGGGAAAAAUGCUAUGUAGAGUGGAAAGCUACAUAGAGGGAUGGUACCUUACUAGAAAGCCCCGGCUAACUACGUGCCAGCAGCCGCGGUAAUACGUAGGGGGCGAGCGUUACCCGGAAUCACUGGGCGUAAAGGGAGCGUAGGUGGCCUAACAUGUCAACUGUGAAAACCCGGAGCUCAACUCCGGACUUGCAGUUGAAACUGGUAGGCUUGAGGACGGUAGAGGAAGACGGAACUGCCAGUGUAAGGGGUAAAUCCUUAG
rnacentral:rRNA from 1 species